AUGAGAGGACUCCUAGACAUAUCAGCGGGGAGGGCGGCGGGUGGGGAGCUUUCUGAGGACCUUUCUGAUAACCAGGGUCAUGGGGACAGGGCCCUCCCAAGUGGUAGGGCGGGCGGGCCAGGACUCCCAAGGCUGCAGUGGAGACCCCAGGACUGCCUGGGGCGCCUGCCGGGGGGCGGGAGCUCCCUGGCGAGGGCUCCUGGAAAAGGGGCCGAGGGGGUCCAAUGAAUGGGGGGGUGUAAGCAAUGACUGUCGGGCUUAUUGGCUGAUUGACCCGGCAACCACAGCUCACAGACGCCCUUUAUCAGCCGUCGUCCCAGGCUCAGCUGCAGGGCAAUCCUGUGGGGGGUGGGAGAUGGGGACAGGCCGCAGCUCCUGGAGGCCCCCGGGCUCAGGCAGCCGCCCACCCCCAGUGUGUGCUCCCUUCUGUCCAUCCUCACCAGGGGAAUGGGGAGGGCUCAGCUCCCCUGGGACCCCUGAGUGUUGAGGAAAGCAGUGUGACACCCUCGGUGCAUGAGUGACAGCGGCACUGAGCCAGACACCUGUGUCUCCCGUGAUGGGGAGAGAGCUGGGCUGCAGGCAGGGCUGGGUCCAGGCCGUCAGCGGCUCUGCCUUGUUUUCCACCGUUACCGUCCAGUCAGCAGCUGCAGGGAACGGCUCCUGGGCACAGGGAGGGAAAUCCCUCAGACUCACCAUGGCCUGCCAGGCAUGCGCUCCCCCUGGGUUCUGGACUUGUCCCAGCUGCAGGGGAGGCAUCCCUCGUGGGCACCUCCCCGGGCAAGAACACAGACCUGGGAGUGUCCACCUGGAGGUGGAGCAGAGCAGGCAGUGUAUCCUGUAUCGGCUGAGUCCAGCAGAGGAGCAUGGAGAGGCAGCCAGGGCCAGGCCUGGGGCUGGGAGUCCUUCAGGAAAGCCAGGACCCGACACGGAAGCGCAGUGGUGAAGUCACAGAGACUGAACGACAGCCUGAGUCUCCUCCGCUGCGGACAGAGGGUCCUCGGGGUUCGGAAGCCACGGGAUGUUCACGGGAACAGAAUCCAAACGGCACCGCGCCGCAGCCGCCCCUGGGCGAACCUGCCGGACGCCAGGUGGCCGGCGAGCUAG
rnacentral:lncRNA from 1 species